GCGGGUGGAGAACCGGUAGCUCGUCGGGCUCAUAACCCGAAGGUCGUAGGUUCAACCUGCCCCCGCA
rnacentral:tRNA from 1 species